rnacentral:rRNA from 1 species
GAUGAACGCUAGCGACAGGCUUAACACAUGCAAGUCGAGGGGCAGCGGGGUGUGGCAACACAUUGCCGGCGACCGGCGCACGGGUGAGUAACGCGUAUGCAACUUGCCUAUCAGAGGGGGAUAACCCGGCGAAAGUCGGACUAAUACCGCAUAAAACAGGGGUCCCGCAUGGGGAUAUUUGUUAAAGAUUCAUCGCUGAUAGAUAGGCAUGCGUUCCAUUAGGCAGUUGGCGGGGUAACGGCCCACGAAACCGACGAUGGAUAGGGGUUCUGAGAGGAAGGUCCCCCACAUUGGUACUGGGACACGGACCAAACUCCUACGGGAGGCAGCAGUGAGGAAUAUUGGUCAAUGGCCGGGAGGCUGAACCAGCCAAGUCGCGUGAAGGAUGAAGGUUCUAUGGAUUGUAAACUUCUUUUGUGCGGGAAUAAAGUCGGGGACGCGUCCCCGUUUGCAUGUACCGUACGAAUAAGCAUCGGCUAACUCCGUGCCAGCAGCCGCCGUAA